rnacentral:rRNA from 1 species
AGCCAGACUCCUACGGGAGGCAGCAGUGGGGAAUAUUGCACAAUGGGGGAAACCCUGAUGCAGCGACGCCGCGUGAGUGAAGAAGUAUUUCGGUAUGUAAAGCUCUAUCAGCAGGGAAGAAAAUGACGGUACCUGACUAAGAAGCCCCGGCUAACUACGUGCCAGCAGCCGCGGUAAUACGUAGGGGGCAAGCGUUAUCCGGAUUUACUGGGUGUAAAGGGAGCGUAGACGGCAUGGCAAGUCAGAUGUGAAAGCCCGGGGCUCAACCCCGGGACUGCAUUUGAAACUGUCAGGCUGGAGUGCAGGAGAGGUAAGUGGAAUUCCUAGUGUAGCGGUGAAAUGCGUAGAUAUUAGGAGGAACACCAGUGGCGAAGGCGGCUUACUGGACCGUGACUGACGUUGAGGCUCGAGAGCGUGGGGAGCAAACAGGAUUAGAUACCCGUGUA